CACUUUCAAUUGUGCUAUAUUUACAAUCUUGCUUCAACUGUUUUAUCAUCUCCUGUGGAUGAGGAACCCUUAGUUGCCAUAACGCUUCAUUCCUAGCCUUCCAGAUUCCAUAGACAAGUGCUGCUAGUACAGCCAUAAUAAAGGAUCUAUUCACUCUUCCCUUCACAUUUCUCAUGAUUCUUCUCCAUAAGCCUAGCAUCUCUGUGUUUCUCACACUUAUUUUCAACCACUAGAGGAUUUCAGUUAGGUAUAUCUUAGAGAAUUGGCACUCAAACAUUAGGUGCUCUACUGAUUCAGGUAAGCUCUCGCAUAAAAGGCAUGUAAUAUCUUGGCAUAUUCCCAUUAUACUCAGCCUCUCUCUUGUCUGUAGUUUCUUGUGAACAACCAACCAGCGGAUGAGUCUAUGUUUGGGUAUAUUCAUAUUGUUCUACACCCAUCUACUCUUAGACCAUCUUGGUGCAUUCCUUUUAAGCCAGCUAUAUCCCCCACCAAUUGGUGUAUUUAGCAGUGCAAGUUAGCCAUCCAUUCUGGAUAUACCCAGUUUCCAACUUAUCUCUCAUUAUGUAGAUUUUUUUCCAGUACCAACAUAAGUCCUGAGGCUGUCUAUAUUCCCACCAAUCCCUCCCCUUCAGGUACACAUGAUCAACACAUUUUACCCACAAGUUGUCUUCUUUCUUUGCUAUAUCCUAUACAUAUUUUUCAAUUGUAGUUUCAUUCCAUUUUACAUAGUCUCUGAUCCCCAAUCCUCCUUUCUUUUUAUGUCUAGUAACCACAUCCCAUGCCACUAGAGGUGUUCUAUUUGUUUCUACUUUACCAUUCCAAAGGAAGUUCCAACAGAUUGCUGCAAUUCUCUUCAUCACCAGUUUUGGAAGAAUGAAGAUCGAUGCCCAGUAUAUGUGUACAUGCAUGAGUACUGAGUUAAUAAGUUGCACCCUGCCUGCAUAAGACAAAUUUCUUGUCCCCAUCCUCUAAUUCUACUAGUUAUGUUUUGUGCCAAUAAAUCACAAUCUGUUGCUGAUAUCUUUCUUGCUAAUAUUGUGACUCCUAAGUAUCUGAAUGGAAGUGCCCCUUCUUGUAUCCUGUUAAUUCACAUAAGUCCUCUAAGCAUGACUCCUCCAUAUUAGCAUUGAAAAUAUUUGACUUAUCAACAUUAGUGUAUAGCCCUGAUGAGUGAGAGAAACUUUUCAGGCCCCUAAGCAUCAAUAUGACUGAAUGGAAGUCUCCUAUGCUAAAUAAUAGCACAUCAUCAACAAAACAUAAGUGGUUGAGAUGCAGGCUUUUAUAUUUUGUAUGAUAGUGGAAUCCUUCCUGAUUAGCUACAACCUUCAUAAUCCUAGUGAAGUACUCCAUGCAUAUUAUAAACAAUAAUGGAGAUAUGGGAUCCCUUUGUCUCAAUCCUCUUUUGCCUAUGAUUUUCCCAUACAUUCCUCCAUUUAGAGCCAGUGUAUAUUGUGUUGAAGUGAUGCAAACCAUUAUCUAUCUUAUAAAUCUUUCAAGAAAAUUAAGAGCAUAUAGCAUUUCUUGAACAAACUCCCACUCAACAGUGUCAUAAUCCUUCAUGAUAUCUACUUUAAUGAGGCAACUUUUUGUAGAAUUCUUUCUAUUGUACAAUCUCACUAAGUCUUGGCAUAUAAGUAUAUUCUGCACAAUGGUUCUAUUUGCCACAAAUGCACCCUGGUUAUGUGAUAUGACUGUAGGAAGUACUUCCUUGAGUCUGUUGCAUAGCAUCUUAGAAAUUAUCUUAUAGACUGUGUUGCAGUAGGCUAUUGGUCUGUAUUCACUUACUGACUCUGCAUGGUUGCUUUUAGGUAUGAGAGUAAUGGUUGUGUUGUUCAUUAUCUUCAACAAUUUACCAUUGUCAAAAAAUUCCAACACUGCAUCACAUAUAUCUUUCCCUACUAUCUCCCAGUUGUCUUUAAAAAAUUGACUUACAUAUUCAUUAGGACCUGGGGAUUUAUCUCCUAGUAUUGCCCAUAAGGCUUAUUUAACCUCUUUUUAUGUGAAGUCAUCCUCCAGCAUGCUUCUUUAUGCCACUGAUACUAUUGCUCCUUUCCUGACCAAAUUGCUAUUGACAUGAACUCUUUGUGUAGCUUUUGUUCCCAGCAACUCUUUGUAAUAAUCCAGAAAAGCUAUUGCAAUCUCUUCUAUUUCUGUUUUUGUUUCUCCCUUGUCAUUUCUAAUAUUAAACACUCUUGUUGCAUUCCUUCUGCUCUUCAUGUAAUUGUGGAGGUAUUUUGUAUUUUGGUCACCUCCCUGAAGCCAUUGUGCUUUGCUUUUUUGUUGUAAAUAUAAUUCCCUUGCCUUGUUCCACCUCUUGCACUCAUGAAUUAGCUUGCGUUCCUCCUCUAACAGUGCCAUGUUCUGUGGAUCCUGCUGUAUAUUGCUUUGACAUGCCAUCAGAUGUCUCAUUGCUUCUUCUGCUCUCAUUUCAACAUUGCUAAAUCUUGUUCUAUUUAACUCUUGCAAGGCUUUAAGGCUUUUUUCAAGUUAUUCAACUUGCCAACUAACUGGAACAUCUUUGUACCUGGUAAUGAUGUAGUCUAGUUGCUCUGCACUUUCUGUUUGUACUCAGGGACAAGUUUCCAUAUAUUAAAAUACUUGAAUGAUCUUGUAUUAUUCUGACUACCUUUAUCCCAUUUUAUGAUUGCAGGACAAUGGUCAUACAACCCCUCAUUCAUAAAAUGAACCUCUGAUGCCGGCAGUUGAGUAAGCCAGUCUAUAUUGGUCAACACUAUGUCAAUCCUACUAUACACUCUAUCGGUCCCUUGUUGUUUGCUAUUCCAUGUAUAGAAGGCUCCCGAUGAUUUUAAUUCCUGCAAUUCACAUUGGUCUAUACAUUGUCUGAAUUCCCUCAUUUCUCUCACUAUGGCUGCCCUUCCUAUUCUCUCAUUAGAAUUGAGAAUACAGUUAAAAUCUCCCAUGAUUGCCCAUGCUCAUUGUAUCUGGUUGUGUAUAUCUUCUAUUUCUUUCCACGAUGAUCUUCUAAAUACAUGGUCAUUGAAACCAUACACCAUAGUUGUACAAAAUUCUUUACCUGUCCC
rnacentral:lncRNA from 1 species